GCCUCUGUGGCUCAGCGGUAGAGCACGACAUUGGUAAUGUCGGGGUCCCGGGUUCAAUUCCCGGCAGAGGCU
rnacentral:tRNA from 1 species